UACGAAGGGUGCAAACGUUGCUCGGAAUUACUGGGCGUAAAGCGUGCGCAGGCGGCUUUGCAAGACAGAUGUGAAAUCCCCGGGCUUAACCUGGGAACUGCAUUUGUGACUGCAUGGCUGGAGUGCGGCAGAGGGGGAUGGAAUUCCGCGUGUAGCAGUGAAAUGCGUAGAUAUGCGGAGGAACACCGAUGGCGAAGGCAAUCCCCUGGGCCUGCACUGACGCUCAUGCACGAAAGCGUGGUGAGCAAACAGG
rnacentral:rRNA from 1 species